rnacentral:rRNA from 1 species
AUUUUGGACAAUGGGGGAAACCCUGAUCCAGCCAUCCCGCGUGAAUGAUGAAGGCAUUCGGGUUGAAAAGUACUUUUGGCAGAGAAGAAAAGGUAUCUCCUAAUACAAGAUACAUCUGCCGGUAUCUGCAGAAUAAGCACCGGCUAACUACGUGCCAGACGCCGCGGUAAUACGUAGGGUGCAAGCGUUAAUCGGAAUUACUGGGCGUAAAGCGUAUGUAGGCGGUUCGGAAAGAAAGAUGUGAAAUCCCAGGGCUCAACCUUGGAACUGCAUUUUUAACUGCCGAGCUAGAGUAUGUCAGAGGGGGGUAGAAUUCCACGUGUAGCAGUGAAAUGCGUAGAUAUGUGGAGAAAUACCGAUGACGAAGGCAGCCCCCUGGGAUAAUACUGACGCUCAGACACGAAAGCGUGGGCAGCAAACAGG